UUCUGCCGAGGUCUUGCUGUGCCUCUAGA
rnacentral:piRNA from 1 species